UUGACCUUAUUCGACCUCAAAUCAGGCAGGACUACCCGCUGAACUUAA
rnacentral:rRNA from 1 species